UACGUAGGGUGCGAGCGUUAAUCGGAAUUACUGGGCGUAAAGGGUGCGCAGGCGGCGUCGCAAGUCAGGCGUGAAAUCCCCGGGCUUAACCUGGGAACUGCACUUGAAACUACGAUGCUGGAGUAUGGCAGAGGGAGGUGGAAUUCCACGUGUAGCGGUGAAAUGCGUAGAGAUGUGGAGGAACACCGAUGGCGAAGGCAGCCUCCUGGGCCAAUACUGACGCUCAUGCACGAAAGCGUGGGGAUCAAACAGG
rnacentral:rRNA from 1 species